GCUGCCAGAUAGGCGUUGAUUGGGUACCUGCACCUCUUGGUGCCGAAACAGCAACGAAAUGGGACAGGAUCAUGUAUUGAUUGGGCGUUGAUGACCAGUAACGAAUGAACGAGGUCUUUGAUGUCUUCUUGUAAAAUCAGUUGAUUUUGGAGCGAAGUCACCUGAAAUGCUGAGUUAAAAGCUGAAAUUAAUUGCAAUAUCCACUUAUACCACGAUUUACGAUUUAUAAUAAAAAUAAUUACAUACCCCGAAAUUCCUGCAUUAAAGUGGAGAGACGCUCAUCAUAAUUAAUUGUGAUAGGAAUUGGUUCAAUUGCUUGAUUCGUGAUACUAAUUUCUUCAUUGCCUAGUAAUUGAAAUAAUUGCUUAAAUAUUCUUUAAAUUUGUAAAAUUCUUAAAAAUUCAUAUAAAGGGUGUUAAUAAAGUCCGAUCCCAUGAAUUUU